GUCGUAACAAGGUCUCCGUUGGUGAACCAGCGGAGGGAUCAUUACCGAGUUUACAACUCCCAAACCCCUGUGAACAUACCACUUGUUGCCUCGGCGGAUCAGCCCGCUCCCGGUAAAACGGGACGGCCCGCCAGAGGACCCCUAAAACUCUGUUUCUAUAUGUAACUUCUGAGUAAAACCAUAAAUAAAUCAAAACUUUCAACAACGGAUCUCUUGGUUCUGGCAUCGAUGAAGAACGCAGCAAAAUGCGAUAAGUAAUGUGAAUUGCAGAAUUCAGUGAAUCAUCGAAUCUUUGAACGCACAUUGCGCCCGCCAGUAUUCUGGCGGGCAUGCCUGUUCGAGCGUCAUUUCAACCCUCAAGCACAGCUUGGUGUUGGGACUCGCGUUAAUUCGCGUUCCUCAAAUUGAUUGGCGGUCACGUCGAGCUUCCAUAGCGUAGUAGUAAAACCCUCGUUACUGGUAAUCGUCGCGGCCACGCCGUUAAACCCCAACUUCUGAAUGUUGACCUCGGAUCAGGUAGGAAUACCCGCUGAACUUAAGCAUAUCAAU
rnacentral:rRNA from 1 species